UGCUCAGCAAUUGCUAUCCCUACCUUUUCGCGGUACUGGCCGGGGUACGAACAACCUUAGGGAAGAUCGGGUACUUUGGUCAUAUGCUAAAAGGGAAGG
rnacentral:ribozyme from 1 species